rnacentral:rRNA from 1 species
CCUUUGCCGGCGACCGGCGCACGGGUGAGUAACACGUAUGCAACCUGCCCUCUUCAGGGGGACAACCUUCCGAAAGGGAGGCUAAUCCCGCGUAUAUCGGUUUCGGGCAUCCGAGAUCGAGGAAAGAUUCAUCGGAAGGGGAUGGGCAUGCGGCGCAUUAGCUAGACGGCGGGGUAACGGCCCACCGUGGCGACGAUGCGUAGGGGUUCUGAGAGGAAGGUCCCCCACACUGGUACUGAGACACGGUCCAGACUCCUACGGGAGGCAGCAG